rnacentral:lncRNA from 10 species
GAUUACCCCCACGAGGCCAGCGUCUCGCGAUCUGGUUACACAGGGCGUUUCUGCUCUGCCUUAUGUUUUUCAGAUACAAAGGGGACACCUGAGAAGACCGGAAAAUAACAGAAAGGGGCCCGGGAUGAAGACAUUCUGGGAAGGAAAUACCAAACAAGAGUUCCAUAGAGGAUUCUUCAGAAACCAUACCACGUCCCAAAGAUCAUUAACAUGGAUUCCAGGAAAUGAAAACGAAGAGAAGCUAGUGGCAAAACAAGAGGCGGGGCUGCCGGGCCUCCGGGAGAAGCUGAGCCUCAUCCACCUCCUUCUUCCCCUGCCUGCUGGAUAUUCAUGGAGGAACGGCCUGGCCCAUGCAUCGGGCUUGUGGAAAGCACGCUGGUCCUCGCACCAACAGUGGCAGAUGCACCCAGAGGACAAACGCACACCCCAAUGUCCUUGCAAAUACUGUGAGGGGCCUAUGACUAACUGAGCAGGGCAGACAAACUCCACCCUUCCAACUUCCGCCCCCGAGUGGGAUGUGGGCUUUGGUCCUGACACUUUUCCAUGCAGGAGCAUUGGAUUUCCUUUUGAAUUACUGUCAAGGGUGGAGGAAAAAAGUUCAGCUCCUGCAAUCAGCUGUUAUCAGCUUCCGUCAUAAUGACAUGUGACUGUGGUGGCAGGGGACUGACCCUGGGAUGCACAGCUAGCUUGGUGAUGGAUGAGCAGGUCAUCUGGACCACAUGCACUCCCAAGGCAGGCUCCCCGGGAAGAGGGUUCUUGCACAUAAACCUGGAUAGGUCCAACAGGACAGCUGCUGGGACGCAGACGCCAAGCCCACCCAAGCUCGCUCUGCAGUCUGAAACAAACUGCUUAAUUUGUGCUAUUGCCUACUUUGUUCAGAGGGAAGAAAGAUAUUUUCCCCCUUUCACAGAAAGGUAAGGAGAAGUGAAUCUAUUUCAAGAGUUGAUUUUUUAAAAAAUGGCAUUUACUUUCCUCUCUUCUAAUGAUAAAAAUGAUAUACGUUCACUGUAGAAAGUUAGGAAUAUAAAGGUGGUAUAACGAGGAAAAUGAAAACCUAGCUGUCAGCUCCCACAGCAUGAACUUUCUCCCACCCAAGUACUAACCAGGCCGGGCCCUGCUCAGCCUCUGAGAUGAGAGAACAUCCAGCAUGUUCAGGGUGGCAUGGCCACAGACCACAGCAGCAACUUUGUGUAUGGAAUUGGACUGACAGCUUUUUAUUUAUUAUUAUUUUUUGAGACAGGGUCUCACUCUGUUGCCCAGGCUGGAGUGCACUGGCAUGAUCACGGCUCACUGCAGCCUCAACCUCCCUAGGCUCAAGCAAUUGUCCCUUCUCAGCCUGCUGAGUAGCUGGGACCACAGGUGUGCUAUCACCCAUGGCUCAUUUUUUUUUUGCAUUUUUUUGGGUUGAGACGGGGUUUCUCCAUGUUGGCCAGGCUGCUCUAGAACUCCUGAGCUCAAGCGAUCCUCCCAAAGUGCUGGGAUUAUAGGCAUGAGCCACCAUGCCCCGGCUGACUGCUUCUUAAGAGAUCCCCUUGUCACCCGCCUCCAUGGCCAUGUUUCUGGCUGAAUAUGGUAAGGUUAUUAUUGAAUGACUGACUAGUGUUUUCCCACUCUUAUGUCUGGCCUUGAAGUCCUUGGCACAAGGAGGAAAUGAAAGAUGACCCAGGGCUAAAUGGUGACCUCCAGGAAGUGGGCCUCGCCACUGCCCGGCAGAGGUCCCAGGACUGAGACCGAGUCACACAGCGGGCAUUCCCUCCAGAAAGCCCAAAGCCGAUUCCCAAGACUGCAGAUCUGAGGCACUGGCAACACCCUCUCUACUGAGCCUCAUUAGCAUAUCUGAGGGAGGAGGGUCUGAAACCCUCACUCCAGGGAAGCUGGGCAGCCACCUGGCCCCAUUUGGCAGGCCUGCUCUGAUCCCAGGUCACCGCUCCAUGGGCCAUCUCAUCUGUCAAACACUUCCUGCACGCCAUCCACUCUAGGACAGAAAACCUGCUGUCGGCACAAACUCCAAGGCUGAAGCAGCCCAGGAAGACGCCUUCCUUUCUCCGCUGUUCACCUCAGUUCCUGCCCAGACAUUCUUUGGCUCUCUCCUUUCUCCAGCUCUUUCUUCUUUUCACCAUCUAUCUAUUUAUUAAAUACCUUUCCAACAUGGUGAUGUGAACCCUUACUAAUGUUCUUACACUCAGACCCAAUAACCUCACACUGCAGCUAUGAACACAUUUUAGACCUCCAGACAAAUACUCCCCAAUAUUCCCCGCCGUAUUAUUUAUAAUAAAGGAAGGUUGGAAAAAACUUUUAUGUUCAAAAAAUGAGAAAAUGGUUAAAUAUGUUAGGGCAUCAAUGUAAUAAAGUAUUAGUUCAUUAUUAACAUUUUAUCAUCUAAUUGGAAUGUUUGGACAUUGUUCAGAUUCUGAUUUGAAGAAUCUUUUUUUUUUUUUUUUUUUGAGAUGGAGUCUCGCUCUGUCCCCUAGGCUGGAGUGCAGUGGCACGAUCUCAGCUCACUGCAAGCUCCGCCUCCCGGAUUCAUGCCUAUUCUCCUGCCACAGCCUCCUGAGUAGCUGGGACUACAGGCGCCCGC